rnacentral:snRNA from 14 species
AAAAAGAAAGAAACAAGUGCCAAUGGGUGAUCAAUAAGGUCCAUGGCCUAGGUUGGUGACCUCUAUUUGCACUUUGUGAGGGGUGCUCGCCUAAGGGCGACUCAAGUGGUUGAGUCUACGUCAUAAUUUGUGGUAGCAGGUCCUGCGUUUGCUCGGUCUCUAC